UCUUGGUUCAAUUAGAGGAAGUAAAAGUCGUAACAAGGUUUCCGUAGGUGAACCUGCGGAAGGAUCAUUAUUGGAUUGAAACCUCGGCAGGUGGCUGUUGCUGGCUCUCUCUUUAUAAGGGGGAGAAUGUGCACGCCUUCUUGCUUGUUUCCUCCUUUAUCACUUGUGCACUAUUUUGUAGACUCUAAUGUCUAUGUAGUCUUAUCACAAAUACAAUGUUAAGAAUGUAUUCAUACAAAGGUGCCUUUUUGUUGCGCCUUAUAAAAAUAUAAUACAACUUUCAACAAUGGAUCUCUUGGCUCUUGCAUCGAUGAAGAACGCAGCGAAAUGCGAUAAGUAAUGUGAAUUGCAGAAUUCAGUGAAUCAUCGAAUCUUUGAACGCAUCUUGCGCUCCUUGGUAUUCCAAGAAGCAUGCCUGUUUGAGUGUCAUUAAUCUCUCAAAAUGCUUUACUUUUUCAAGCAAAGUGUUUUUGGAUUUUGGGAGUUACUGCUGGCUUGUCAGCUCUCCUUAAAAGCAUUAGAGCCCUUCUCCUAUUAACUGGUAUGAUAAUUAUCUAUGCCUGAGAAAGUGAGAAGCAAGCCUCUAAUCGGUCCUGUCCAUCAGGACAAUACUUUUUGAUGUUGACCUCAAAUCAGGUAGGAUUACCCGCUGAACUUAAGCAUAUCAAAGCCGCG
rnacentral:rRNA from 1 species